rnacentral:rRNA from 1 species
UCGCCUGUUUUAUCAAAAACAUCGCCUCUUGCCUCACCCAUAUAAGAGGUCGUACCUGCCCAAUGAUGUACAUUUAAUGGCCGCGGUAUUCUGACCGUGCAAAGGUAGCGUAAUCACUUGUCCUUUAAAUGAGGACCUGUAUGAAUGGUUUGACGAGGGCUUAACUGUCUCCUCUUCUAAAUCAAUGAAAUUGAUCUCUUCGUGCAAAAGCGAAGAUAACUAUAUAAGACGAGAAGACCCUGUGGAGCUUAAGAUAAACAUAUAAACUUUGACCAAAGGACUUUAAAAAUAAACAAAGCCAAAACCUUUAUAUUAUAUCUUCAGUUGGGGCGACUACGGAGAAUACAAAACCUCCGCGAAGACAAGAACACAAAUUCCCAAAACCUAGAAUAACCUCUCAAAGCAAUAGAACUUCUAACUUUUAUUGAUCCAACUCGUUGAUCAACGAAAAAAGUUACCCCAGGGAUAACAGCGCAAUCCCCUUUCAGAGUUCCUAUCGACAAGGGGGUUUACGACCUCGAUGUUGGACCAGGACAUCCUAAUGGUGCAGCCGCUAUUAAGGGU